UCCGGCUUAUCACCUGAGCAGGAUGGUAUUGCUACCUCGUUGGGCUUUCACCCUUCUACUACCUGCAUGUCCAGCCUGGGUAAGGUUCUUCGCGUUGCGUCGAAUUAAACCACAUGCUCCACCGCUUAUGCGGGCCCCCGUCAAUUCCUUUGAGUUUCAACCUUGCGGCCGUACUUCCCAGGCGGAAUACUUAAUGCGUUAGCUGCGGCACCGGCGGUAACCCGCCGACACUUAGUAUUCAUAGUUUAAGGCGUGGACUAC
rnacentral:misc_RNA from 1 species